AUUCUAAAAAAGAGUGUAAACAAAUGGUACGAUGUUUGACGUGGAUUUUGAUGAUGAUAUGAGGGACUUUAUGCACGCGAACUUGGAAUUUAACGAUGGUCACUUUGCUGCCCCGCACUUUCCAGACGAUCUUUUCAACAAUAUUCUUGGAGGAGAAGGAGUUAUCUUCCAGUUCGACAAUCCUUACGACAGCGACGACGAUGAUUACGACUAUUACGACGAAGACGACCCCUUCGACGAUGAUUUCGAGAUCGACAAUUCGAGAAAGAUAUUUGUAACAUUGCAAGACAGCUCAGUUAUCAAGAGAUUGUCAUUUCACAAGAAGUCCUGGAAGCCAUAUGGGCACUUUGGAACGGGACUGAAGAAUCCUUGCAAGGUUGAGUGCUACGAAGAUCUUUACCGGCUCCUGGAGGAACUGGAACUCCUUGUCAGGGUUUGGAGAAAACGCUGCCAGCAUCCCUACACCGCUCAUCUCAGGACGGAGAUUAAGAACUCGGUUCAGAACACCGGAGAGAAGCUGGUUGAAGGAGAGGACUAUAAUCAGUCCGACUAUGAGGAUGAGGACAUUUUCAGCUACUCUAGCCCAACCACGUUUACACCAAACGAAUCUCUAACUAAGAAAAAGUUCUGCCAGAGCGUGAAGAUUUAUCAGAAAAUAUUCGAGAACGACAAACAGUUCGAUGUGUUCCUGCGAACCCUGCUCCGGAUGAAGAAGUAUGUGUUCCGUGUCGUGUUCCAGGUGUUCAUGGACACUUUGCCCCCCGCCACUGCUGCCAGGCUUCCACAGGAACUCUGGGAGAAGAUCUGGAAACAUACUCAGAAUGGAUAUUCCAAUGGUGACAGCUUUGAUCCUUUUCUGGAAGAGCUGGAAGAUACUCAAUACUAUCGGGCCGGUCAGAGGUCGAGUCGGUCAUAUUAUGGACCUUGGCACGCAGAACAGGAGCGAAUAGCUGAACUGUACGGAGCUGUAGGAAACCUAUUUAUCUCUCUGUUUGAGAUAUUAUUCAAGAACACUGUUUUCCCUCAACAACACUUAAUUCCUAUUCAAGAACUUGAAUCUGAUGGGAGCAUGGUCAAACUAAUCCGUGUACUCUGGAUCAAACACUGGGCUUUAGUCGGGCAGAAGUUUGCCCGCCUCCGACAACUAGAUUCCUUUCUGAAUCCCUCCGACGAUAUUUCCUCCUUGCCUGGUCCUUCGGAGGUCUCCCUUUACCAGAAGGUAGAGAAGGGGAUGUACACUAUCCGGGAUGUUACAACGGAGUUUAAGAUGAAACACACCAGUCAUCUGACAACCUGCCAAACUGGAAAUAUUAUCGUCUGCAUGGACGAUUGCAAUCUUCUCGCUAUUGUAGAUCAUUAUUCCGACGAUGGAGAGUUCUUUCUAAACCUAACGGUGUGUGAUGGAAGCACGGGAAAAGUUCGCCACGUGAUCAAAACUGGGCUCAGCUACAGUUUCUUCCAGAUAGACCUCGCAAACUUCGCAAUACGUCGCCUCGGUAAAACCGGUUGGAGGAAAACCUUUUGCCUGACUAAGGACAGAAUCUCAUUGUUGUAUUGUGAUACAAUCCAUAAAUCUUCAAGAAUUAAGAUCUGGUCGCAUGCGUUUUCUAGCGACGACAGCCAGGUCGACAUCAUGCUGAAGGACCCGCUAGUCGACGAAUUCUUCGCCGAGACGACCUACGAUCAGAAGAAUAGCUCUAAUCAGAAAUCAACGAUAUUCCACAGCGAGAAUAAGAUUGUUGUCUGUGUUCAGAAUCCGUUUAAGGUUGAAUCUGUUCUGAACGUAUAUGAUGGGACAAGCGGAGAACUUGUUUUGAAUAUUGAUUGGUUGGAGGAGGAGGUUCGGCUGGCCGGGUUCAAGGAGAACAGAGCCAUCCUCGUAAACAGUACCACCAACUCCAUCAUCUUCUUCAGCACGGACUCAGGGGAACCGAUCUACACACUCCCCUUCGCCGAGAUGAACGUGGGAACAGAGAGCUACGGACCCUGGUCCGGAAUGUUUGACUCAAGUCCAGGAAUUCACGAAUUUGCUCUCCUACGAUCGGAUAACUCCAAGUUUCAGCUGUACUCUUACAACCCCGAUCAAGAGACGGUAAAGCCGGGACUUAUUUUCUCCGGAUCGGUCAGUGAUAGCUACAAACUAACCUCGGAGUGCUUGAGCACAGCUAAAUUGAAGAACGGGGUACUAUACUUUAACCGUAGGGUUUAUCUACCCCAGGAGAUGAUUAUAGAUGAGGUAGAAUGUUUCCACGAAGUUUGCGCUCUCAGUCUUAAAUCUCAAAGUUCCUGUCCCAUCCUUACCAUGGGCAGUGAACCGUUCCAGCUAGGCCAAACCAAAUAUAACGAACUUAGUCACACGCAUUUCGAUCCUAAGUUCAAGUUCUCAGAUAUUCUAAACUCAACCAUUGUAGAAACUUUUGAUCCUUGCAAGCGUCCACUCUUCUUUAUUAGUCCGACAUCAUUCGGAAUUCUCAUGGAACUUGGCAACAUCAUUAAAAUAUUCGACUUCGAUCACGAUGAAAGAUCUGUUGUUGCAACCGAGGUCGCGGCCUUAGAGGCUGAGAAGAAGGAAGAAGAGGCUGCUGUAGCCGAGCAAAGGAUGAAGGAGAAGGAGAAAGAGAAAAAGAAGAAAGGAAAGCUGGCGAAACAGAAGAAGGAUGCUGAGGAGAAGUUUGUGGGAACUGAGGUUGUAGUAAAGGGCAAGGUCGGAGAAUGGAAAGGAACUUACGGAUUUAUCAGAGGACGGGGAGCAGCGUAUAAGCUGGGACGGAUAUUCUUCCACCGGAGUAAUGUUCCUGGACAUGAGAAGAGAAGAUUCUUCCGACCAGGAUUGGAGCUGGAGUGUUUCCUGGUCCAGGGAAGGGAGGAAGGAUCUUAUGAAGCAGUAAAGGUGAAAGUUGUUUGAACAGCGAAGAAAGUCAAGAAUUCAAAAGUCAAAUAUUUUAUCGUUAAAAAUUUCUGAAAAUUAUUUAUUUAGCAUGCUCGUAACUAGCUACAUAUAUUAAGCUCAAUUCUGGUGAACCUCACUACACUUAAUAUUUAUCCUGUCUUUCCGUACUUAUAUCGUUUACUUGGAGCCAAUUACGUUUUUAUCAGGAUCGAAAACAAGUUUUCCGAUACUGGUAUAUUCGACAUGGCUAUCAACUUUUAUUUUCUUUGUAACAGUAUUAAUUGUGAAAAUUCCAUUGCAGAAAAA
rnacentral:misc_RNA from 1 species